UACGGAGGAUGCAAGCGUUAUCCGGAAUGAUUGGGCGUAAAGCGUCCGCAGGUGGCUAUGUAAGUCUGCUGUUAAAGAGUCUAGCUCAACUAGAUAAGAGCAGUGGAAACUACAAGGCUAGAGUACGUUCGGGGCAGAGGGAAUUCCUGGUGUAGCGGUGAAAUGCGUAGAGAUCAGGAAGAACACCGGUGGCGAAGGCGGUUCUCUGGGCAUUACCUGACGCUGAGGAGCGAAAGCGUGGGGAGCGAAAGGG
rnacentral:rRNA from 1 species